rnacentral:rRNA from 1 species
AGCGUAGACGGAGUGGCAAGUCUGAUGUGAAAACCCGGGGCUCAACCCCGGGACUGCAUUGGAAACUGUCAAUCUGGAGUACCGGAGAGGUAAGCGGAAUUCCUAGUGUAGCGGUGAAAUGCGUAGAUAUUAGGAGGAACACCAGUGGCGAAGGCGGCUUACUGGACGGUAACUGACGUUGAGGCUCGAAAGCGUGGGGAGCAAAACA